AGUUUGAUCCUGGCUCAGGAUGAACGCUAGCGGCAGGCUUAAUACAUGCAAGUCGAGGGGUAGCAGGGUAGCAAUACCGCUGACGACCGGCAAACGGGUGCGGAACACGUACACAACCUUCCUUUUAGUGGGGAAUAGCCCAGAGAAAUUUGGAUUAAUACCCCGUAAGAUAUUAGAACGGCAUCGUUUAGAUAUUAUAGGUUUACCGCUAAGAGAUGGGUGUGCGGCUGAUUAGGUAGUUGGCGGAGUAACAGCCCACCAAGCCAACGAUCAGUAGCUGAUGUGAGGGCAUGAUCAGCCACACGGGCACUGAGACACGGGCCCGACUCCUACGGGAGGCAGCAGUAAGGAAUAUUGGACAAUGGACGCAAGUCUGAUCCAGCCAUGCCGCGUGAAGGAUUAAGGCCCUCUGGGUUGUAAACUUCUUUUAUAGGGGACGAAAAAAGGGCUUUCUAGCUCGACUGACGGUACCCUAUGAAUAAGCACCGGCUAACUCCGUGCCAGCAGCCGCGGUAAUACGGAGGGUGCAAGCGUUAUCCGGAUUCACUGGGUUUAAAGGGUGCGUAGGCGGGCAGUUAAGUCAGUGGUGAAAUCUUCGAGCUCAACUCGGAAACUGCCAUUGAUACUAUCUGUCUUGAAUACUGUGGAGGUGAGCGGAAUAUGUCAUGUAGC
rnacentral:rRNA from 1 species